rnacentral:rRNA from 1 species
UCAUCUCCGGGGGUAGAGCACUGUUUCGGCAAGGGGGUCAUCCCGACUUACCAACCCGAUGCAAACUGCGAAUACCGGAGAAUGUUAUUACGGGAGACACACGGCGGGUGCUAACGUCCGUCGUGAAGAGGGAAACAACCCAGACCGCCAGCUAAGGUCCCAAAGUCAUGGUUAAGUGGGAAACGAUGUGGGAAGGCCCAGACAGCCAGGAUGUUGGCUUAGAAGCAGCCAUCAUUUAAAGAAAGCGUAAUAGCUCACUGGUCGAGUCGGCCUGCGCGGAAGAUGUAACGGGGCUAAACCAUGCACCGAAGCUGCGGCAGCGACACUAUGUGUUGUUGGGUAGGGGAGCGUUCUGUAAGCCUGUGAAGGUGGCCUGUGAGGGUUGCUGGAGGUAUCAGAAGUGCGAAUGCUGACAUAAGUAACGAUAAAGCGGGUGAAAAGCCCGCUCGCCGGAAGACCAAGGGUUCCUGUCCAACGUUAAUCGGGGCAGGGUGAGUCGACCCCUAAGGCGAGGCCGAAAGGCGUAGUCGAUGGGAAACAGGUUAAUAUUCCUGUACUUGGUGUUACUGCGAAGGGGGGACGGAGAAGGCUAUGUUGGCCGGGCGACGGUUGUCCCGGUUUAAGCGUGUAGGCUGGUUUUCCAGGCAAAUCCGGAAAACUAAGGCUGAGGCGUGAUGACGAGGCACUACGGUGCUGAAGCAACAAAUGCCCUGCUUCCAGGAAAAGCCUCUAAGCAUCAGGUAACAUCAAAUCGUACCCCAAACCGACACAGGUGGUCAGGUAGAGAAUACCAAGGCGCUUGAGAGAACUCGGGUGAAGGAACUAGGCAAAAUGGUGCCGUAACUUCGGGAGAAGGCACGCUGAUAUGUAGGUGAAGCGACUUGCUCGUGGAGCUGAAAUCAGUCGAAGAUACCAGCUGGCUGCAACUGUUUAUUAAAAACACAGCACUGUGCAAACACGAAAGUGGACGUAUACGGUGUGACGCCUGCCCGGUGCCGGAAGGUUAAUUGAUGGGGUUAGCGGUAACGCGAAGCUCUUGAUCGAAGCCCCGGUAAACGGCGGCCGUAACUAUAACGGUCCUAAGGUAGCGAAAUUCCUUGUCGGGUAAGUUCCGACCUGCACGAAUGGCGUAAUGAUGGCCAGGCUGUCUCCACCCGAGACUCAGUGAAAUUGAACUCGCUGUGAAGAUGCAGUGUACCCGCGGCAAGACGGAAAGACCCCGUGAACCUUUACUAUAGCUUGACACUGAACAUUGAGCCUUGAUGUGUAGGAUAGGUGGGAGGCUUUGAAGUGUGGACGCCAGUCUGCAUGGAGCCGACCUUGAAAUACCACCCUUUA